CACCACGUCCGGCUAAUUUUUUUUCUAUUUUUAGUAGAGACGGGGGUUUCACUGUUUUGGCCAGGCUGGUCUCGAGCUCCUGAUCUCGUGAUCCGCCCGCUUCGGCCUUACAAAGUGCUGGGAUUACAAGCGUGAGCCACCGUGCCCGGCUCAUCCUGCUUUUGGUUUCAGGUCUCCAUGCCAGUGAAAUGUCACCUCAACUCCACCGUCCCUGGUGUCAGGCAAGCCCGAGGGACCCAAUUCUGCCUUUCUUCUGGAUUUUCCUAACCUGUUAAGAGUCUUGAAAGUCCUUAAACCACGGGAGACUAUCUGGCACAUGACACGGGAUGAGACUUGGUGGGGGUCCCACGGGGGACAGGUCCUUCCAGCGGUUCCUCUGCACCCAGCGCUGCACGGGCAUGGGGCGUGGGUAAUCAGCCUCCCGAAAGCCACGCGAGUCACGGUCCUGCCUGCGAAGAACUCCCAGGGCGACCUUGGGGCUGAGGAGUGGGCCUGCUUCGGCCUUCUGCUCUUCUGUUGUGUGGUGACCCUCACCAGAGGACAGCUUCAUGCUCUUGGACUUCCCAGCCUCAAGAACUGUAAGAAAUAAAUUUCUUUAUAAGUUGCCCAGUCUGUGGUAUUUGGUUAUAGCA
rnacentral:lncRNA from 1 species